rnacentral:lncRNA from 1 species
UAUACGCCUCCAAAGUGGGUUAGUGAGAAUUUAUAACCUAUAUGUCAUGCUGAGGAAUUUAUGUCCUCAGUUUUAAAAUAUAUAUAUUCUUUGAAAUACAAAUUAUUCAGCUACUUAAAUUUAUAUCUAUUUUGUGUAUGAACAUUUCAAAGUAUUCUGAGUUUAUCUGGGGUCUGCUUUGAAUGUUUAUUCUCAAGACCAGAAAUUGUGUUUGUUUUCUCUGAAACUCUAAGCAGAACUUCAUUGCAAAGAGGGGGUUCUGAAAGGAAUUUUGAUACAAAUACCUGCAGUCCAUAAUCUUCCCUGUUGCCUUCC